rnacentral:rRNA from 1 species
AACGAACGCUGGCGGCAUGCCUAACACAUGCAAGUCGAACGAUCACUUCGGUGAUAGUGGCGCACGGGUGCGUAACGCGUGGGAAUCUGCCCUGGGGUACGGAAUAACUCAGAGAAAUUUGAGCUAAUACCGUAUGAUGACGUAAGUCCAAAGAUUUAUCGCCCUGGAUGAGCCCGCGUCGGAUUAGCUAGUUGGUGAGGUAAAGGCUCACCAAGGCGACGAUCCGUAGCUGGUCUGAGAGGAUGAUCAGCCACACUGGGACUGAGACACGGCCCAGACUCCUACGGGAGGCAGCAGUGGGGAAUAUUGGACAAUGGGCGAAAGCCUGAUCCAGCAAUGCCGCGUGAGUGAUGAAGGCCCUAGGGUUGUAAAGCUCUUUUACCCGGGAUGAUAAUGACAGUACCGGGAGUAUAAGCCCCGGCUAACUCCGUGCCAGCCGCCGCGGUAA